GCGUGCAUCCGGGUCCCCGCGCAGUGGCUGCACGCAGCCCACCUCUCCCGACGAUCCGGGUCCUCCCGCCCUUCGCGGUGAUUCUGUCGCGAACCCUCUCACGGCAGCUAUGAGACUGCUGCGCUCCCCAGACGAGGAAACCUGGUCUCCCGGAGCCAGGUAACCCACCCGCAGCCUGCGGGAGAGCCGAGGUCUGCAGCCGGGCCGUCGGGCUGCCUCUUCCCGGGGACCCGGGAGCGGGGGGCGGGGGGCAUGGUGGCCUCUCGGGCUGCUCCGAACGUCCCCUCCAAACAGCGAGGGGACGCACAGCCCCACUCAGGAGGGAGCCAAUGACAUUGAACCUGAACCCAAGCCAGCCUUAGACUGAACUUUCAAAGUACCAUUAAGCAACGCCGUGAGGAAAUGGAACAUUCGACAAGAGUCUUGCUCUGUCGCCCAGGCUGGAGUGCAGUGGCGCGAUCUCGGCUCACUACAACCUCUGCCUCCCAGGUUCAAGUGAUUCUCCUGCCUCAGCCUCCUGAGUAGCUGGGAUUACAGCUCUGGGACAAACCAGCUUCUAUGUCAUGAGCACACUCAGGCAGCUCAUUGGAGAGAUCUGCAUGGUAAAGCAAUGAGGCCUCCUGCCAGCAGCCAUGUGAGUGGCAUCUUGGAGCCAGACCCUCCAGCCCCAGUCAAGCCUUCGGAUGCCUGCAGCCCUGGCUGACAUUUUAACCACAACUUCAUGAGAGAUUCUGAGCCAGAAUCACCCAGCUAAGCUGCUCCCGGGUUGCCAGCUUCCAGAAUCACGGUAGGAUGACCUCUCUCCCCUGCUUGGAAGUUACGUAUAUCCACGCAACUUUGAAAUUGAGUAAGACUGGGAUGUGUCAUCCCCAAGAGGGCACUUCAAGAGCCAGUGUGCCAUCACAACCUCUUUCUCUCCCUCUAUCAAACCAGUUGCCAGUGUUAUAAAUAAUGAGACCAUGCUCUAUCAGCUUGGGGCCAGGGGUUGGGGUGAUGUGGAGCAGAGCUGUUAGCUGACCCACCAUGGAUGUGUAGCAGCGGAAGAAGCAAGCCGUGUGCUGUUGAAGCACCCACAUUUUUGGUGUUACUGCAGCACAACCUGAACUAUACUGACUGAUGCAGGUGAGGAUACACAGGGAUCCUCUGUCCCUCCACCCCCAGCUCUUCAUGCUCUUUGGGCCCAGGAAAGCCAGUAUCUCCAUUGAGGUCAGCAGGAUCAUGCCCUUGAUGUGGGUUCCCUGUCCCCUGCCCAGGGGACCUCCACCGUGUCCACACCUGGAUAAAAAGUGAGGAGCUUGGUUCAGGAGUGGGCUGGGGGCCUGGCCUGGUCAUCACGACCUCUCUGUUUAGAACCCUGUGGAUGGGAAAGGCUUACAUGGCAGUAAGAGGAGUUGAAGGUGUUAAGUAACGGCCCGUGUGAUCCAGUUCUGAAAACCACAAAGUCAACAGUGAUUGAUCCUUUGCUUUCUUUUCCAGAACCAUAGAGAAUUUGGGGAAAAUACUGUCUGGCCACCCAGAAAACAAAGACCAGUUAGGAUUUGUUUUAUUUUCUCUUCUUCCCAGAUCAAUCCACAGUUCUCCAGGGACCCAUUGUGGUUUUGUGCUUCCUCUGUGCCUGUUCUGCUCCUCUCCAUGCACCCCAGCCCCUCCCAGUCCCCUCAACGGUCCUUCUGGCCAGGCCCAUAGCCCCCUCUCUGCCCCACAGUCCUCAGGCUCCAGCUUUCUCGUUAGGAAGUGUUAGAAAGUUGCUGGAGUGAGAAAUGAGCCUGUGAAACUCGUUGUCCUAAUUAAACUUCCACAAGGAGAGUGACAAGAGGCGACGGGGAGGAAACGGUGCCACCACCAAGGUCUCAGCCUGGGCCCAGGUCGAGGAAGGCCUUUGUCCUGCAGAACAAAAGCCACUGUUUGCACGUGUUAAACUUCAUCAAACUUCAACAGACCCAGACAGCUUCUGCUCUGAGAUGCAUUGUUCCUAUGACUUCCUACACUCCGCCCUUGUCUGACGAAUUAGGGCACGGAGCCCCCCCAUGGCACAGCUGGGCCCUGCUGGCAUUGUUAAUGAGCCUCCCAGCAUUUCUGCGUCUCCUCGGGAGCCACUGCCCUGUGCAAGAGCUGUUUGCUGAUGCCCAGCCGCGGCUUCCAAAACUCCCGCGAGAAGUCGUUUCUGUCCACAGUCAUUGUUUCCAGACCAGCCGAGCCAACUGGGGAGGAGAGGCCAAGCCCAGGGAGAGCAUCUCAAGGACUUGGGCAGCUUCUGGAAGUGGCUGAGACUGGAAGAAUGUUGUCACACCUACCAGAUAUCCCUACGUGUAUCUCUACCACCCCCACUACAUAUUCUGAAGAACCAAGAGCCCUAGCUCCUCCGUGUCCCUCAUCUGUCAAGUCUGCUCUCAGGGAAAAGCGGAAACUCACUCAGUCCCAAAGGAGGUGAACUUUCUUCUUUGCCCUUCCCCCAUGGAAUGUGGCCAUGAUGGUUGGAGCUCCAGCAGCCAUCUUGGGACCAAUGUGAGGAUGGACAUUACAAGCUAAGAGGGCUGAGCAGAAAGAAAGAAGACAUCAGACUCUGAUGAGUGACUGUGGAGCUGCCUUGCCAGUCCUAGACUGCCCAAGGCCGUAUUUCUCUCAGGUGAAAAUAAACCUGUAUCCUCUUUAA
rnacentral:lncRNA from 1 species